rnacentral:lncRNA from 1 species
GUAGUUUCUCAACAGGUUUCCCUAUUAUGCUCUUUUUUGGAACUGAAAUUAAUUAACAAUUCUUUUCAGCACUUGUUGACCUUCCGUGAUGCUUGAACAGUUGGUUUUGCAGCUAUAAAAGUUAAAUUGUAAAUAAUCUAGUUCUCUCAGGACAGUUUUUUUGUUUUUGUUUUAAGAUACUGCUGCCCAUUCCCAAGCAAAAAUAAUGUUUUUCUUUAUAAAAACUAACACACAUCCUGUUUUUUUUCUCAAAUGAGAAGAGGGCAUUGGAGGAAAUGAUGAUGGAAAUACCACGUCACGUGUCUCAGUCUGAUUCCUGAGUAUAUUCAAACCAAUAAACACUUUGAGCAAGUUAAGAUGACUGAGCUUGAUAUCAUCUCUUGUCCACCUAGUAUUAUGCGCAAUGUUGUGCCUCCAAUGAGCUGAUCUCGUAAUACAACCAUCAUGGCAGGAUGUGGUAGAGGCCAGUUGUCUGAGGAGUGGGGCACAGAAGUAUGUGGAAUGGAUAAGAAAAAAUGAAGCAAACAAGGACAACAGGAUGCAGAAGCUGUGUGCUAUACAUCAUCCAAGAGCAGAUGCUUGACUGCAGCUAUUUCUCACACGAAAGGCAUGAGUGAGCUGCAUAAAACUAGUUCCUCUUCACAAAAAGUGUCGUAUCUGCAAGUGAAUAUCUGCAUUUAGGACAUGUGCAUUGGCAGGAAAACCAGCUAAGAUGGUGGCUAAGGCCCCAGAAGGGCU